GCCUAAUAAAAUAGCGGCGAAAACCUCAACUAAAAUGUCCUCUCCGACCGAAGCGACCGAAUUGAUCAUCGUUGGAAAGUGUCCCGACCUUAUCUUCCAAGACCGUAGUAUCUUUUUUCUAUGAUAAUUAUAAUACUGUCAUUGUCAUAGAACAAUGAUACUGUGUACACGUCGUCCUACACUCCUACUCCUACACCAGUGUCCUGCUUGCACAGUUGCACCUCUCAUAAGAGGCCGUGUGUAAAAUUUCUUUUAAUUCCCUUCUUUGGCUUUUUUUUUUGUCCUGUCGUUUAUCUAAUCUAUAACAUGAUAUAAUAAACAUUUUUCAGCACAUUAUAAAAGUAUCGAAAGCCAAGGCUUUAGCUGAGUAUCGCUGCGUAUUAGUGAGUAACAGAAAAAGUUGUACCUAAUUGAAAAACAAACAAUUAAGAGGACAUAAUUCAAUAUGGUACCUACCAUGAAGAACGACUACUGAUGAUUGCGCAAUCAAUUCUAAAUCAUCAAUUUCUGGGCCCUAGUCAUGUGAGUACUGUAAUGGAUGUGUUAAAUUUGAAUUUAAUGAUAUGAAAUCCAUUGUACCAUUCAAAAAACGAUUCUGAGUGCUGACAGUUCAUCGGCUUAUAUUAUUAAGUAUAAUAAUAUUAUAUACAGUCUUCAAGUGUUGUCGAUUCCACUUAUUUGAUGAGAUGAUCAAGUAUUUAAUAGAAUUAUUAAAUAGGAAAUUAUUGAUUAAACAGACCAUAACAACAAUAGUCAGUUAUAUCAAAUAAGAUCUAAAACUGAAGAAUAAGUCAACACAAUUGAUACUGAAAUAAAAAUUGAAGUAUUUAGCUAUUAACGGUUAAUAAUUUAAGGAACAGUUUUAAACAAAAUCAAAUCUUCAGCAUUCAUUAUUUGUAUGAAUUCGGACGAGUCAUUUAACUGUUUGGAGGAAAAUCGAUUGACUGAUCAUUGAUAAAAUGUCUAACAUAUACAAUAUACCUGAGCAUAUAAGAACACGUCAUAAUGGAGAAAAGCCACAUAACUGUAAUCUUUGUGAUAAAAGCUUUUCUACAUCAUCAGAUUUAACAAAACAUACGAGGACACAUACUGGAGAAAAGCCGUAUAAGUGUGAUAUGUGUGAUCUAGCUUUUUCUCUGAAAACUAAUUUAAAAAAUCAUAAAAGGACACAUACCGGUGAAAAACCGUAUGAAUGUGAUAUUUGUGAUCAAGCCUUUUCUCAAGCACAUAAUUUAAAAACCCAUAAAAGGACACAUACCGGUGAAAUUCCGUAUAAAUGUGAUAUCUGUAGCCGUGCCUUUUCUCAAGCAUAUAAUUUAACAAGACAUAUAAGGACACAUACAGGUGAAAAACCUUAUAAAUGUGAUAUUUGUGGGAAGGGAUUUUCUACAUCAUCAGAUUUAACAAUGCACACAAGGACACACACAGGCGAAAAACCGUAUAAGUGUAAUAUAUGUGAUAAGGGGUUUACUACAUCAUUCGAUUUAACAAGGCAUACAAGGACGCAUACCGGUAUAAAGCCGUAUAAAUGUGAUUUAUGUGAUCAAGCUUUUUCUCUAGCACAUCAUUUAACAGGACAUACAAGGACACAUACAGGUGAAAAGCCGUUUAAAUGUGAUAUCUGUAAUCAAACUUUUUCUCAGAAAACAAAUUUAACAAAGCAUACAAGGAUACAUACCGGCGAAAAGCCUUACAUAUGUCUAUUCUGUAAUAAGGGGUAUUCUACAUCAUUAGAUUUAACAAGGCAUACAAGGACACAUACGGGUGAAAAACCUUAUAAAUGUGAUGUUUGUGAUCAAGCUUUUUCUCAAGCACAUAGUUUAAACACCCAUAAAAGAACACAUACCAGUAUUGAGCCGUAUAAAUAUGUUAUAUGUGAUUUAGAGCUUUCUAAUGCAUCAAAUUAAAAAAAAAUCAUAUGAGGAUACAUAUCAGAAAAAGUCUUUUAAAAAUGCAACAUAUUCAAGGCACAUGAAAAUUAUAUUUUUAGAACAUAUUCAACAUACACCGUCUGUUACCUAUCUCUUACAACACUAUCUAAUGAUGUUAUUCCACAUGCAGGCAUUUAUAGCUGCAUUCAGUUAUUCAAUAUAUUCAAAUAUAGCGAACCUAUCAUAUAUUAUGCAAUCCAAGAAUUCAAUAUGGGCGAAAUGGCAGUCCAACUCUGGGUUGAUCCGUACAACAUUUUUGGUAACCAAAUGGCACAAUAUCAGCUACCAUCUAGCCAAUCCGGUCAAGUCACGAUUGUUCAGUACCAACCACAACCACUGGGGGCCGAAAUUCUACAGCCUGUCUUGCAGACUAUUAAAUUACAACAAACACAGUCUGUCUGGUCAAUGUUGAUCCCAGUAAACGAACGCCAGAAAAACCUGCUCCGAUAAGAAUGAUGAUGCCUCAACUAAAUCAGUUCCAGAAUCUUCAACCGUCAAUCAUACCCACCAGGCCAUUUACAGUCACAGUUUUGUUAGGUAUCUACGCAACUGUUGUUACUCCCAUAGCAUAUCUUAAGUAUAUAUCAUGGUAUGUUUUAAGAUUCUGUGCGGAACAAGAUAUCUUUAGAUUCGUGGUGAAUGUAUUGUUUUUACAAUGUGAUUAAGACUUGUUUAAGCACUGAGAGUUUUAAAUUGUUAUCUAUAAGUACUAGUUAUAUUCAAUUCCCUACAAGAAUCUACCUUCAAAGUUAAAUAAUGAAGCAUUUUUUACUCUAAAUUGUUUACACAAAAAACUAAUAGAUACAUCAUUGUAAAAUCAAUACAUUCAUUGCUCAGAAUCUAAAACAUCAAUACAUUUUAUGUUUCGAAUUGUUAACUGUAAAUUUUUUGGUAGAAUGAUAAAAAUGAGCCCAUGCAUGCAGCUUUGCUGUUAUUAACAGAAGUGUUUGAAGUAGACGAACAACUUCAAUUCCUUCGGCAACAAAGGUCAUGUCAUGUUACAACAACAUAUUAUUAGAGAUUUAUUUAGUCAUGUAGUUAACGGUAGUUUCAAAAAGUAUGUGACUACUGUUGGAAUUAGUUUCCUUAUUAACUUACAAUGAUUAUUAUUAUAUUCGUAUACACUUAAAUAAUAUACUAUGUAUAUACAAUUAACUUACAUCAACUAGACAAAAAUAAGCUAAUGUACAAUGAAAUCUUUAAAUGGAAUUAAGUGUAUAAAAAUAUAUACAGUUUCGCGGGAUGGUUGUGAUCGAUAUAUUAUUUUUAGUCAACUUCAGUCAUAACAACUUUGUGAUGGGGAAAAAAAUGUGUUGUUGAUAAUUUUUUGCAUAAUAUAAUUCAAAUGUAUAUUGUA